GUGAACGCUGGCGGUAGGCCUCACACCUGCCAGUCGAACGGCAGCACAGUAAGAGCUUGCUCUUACGGGUGGCGAGUGGCGGACGGGUGCGGAAUACAUCGGAAUCUACUUUUUCGUGGGGGAUAACGUAGGGAAACUUACGCUAAUACCGCCUACGACCUACGGGUGAAAGCCGGGGAUCUUCGGACCUUGCGCGAUUGCAUGAGCCGAUGUCGGAUUAGCUAGUUGGCGGGGUAAAGGCCCACCAAGGCGACGAUCCGUAGCUGGUCUGAGAGGAUGAUCAGCCACACUGGAACUGAGACACGGUCCAGACUCCUACGGGAGGCAGCAGUGGGGAAUAUUGGACAAUGGGCGCAAGCCUGAUCCAGCCAUACCGCGUGGGUGAAGAAGGCCUUCGGGUUGUAAAGCCCUUUUGUUGGGAAAGAAAAGCAGCAGGUUAAUACCCCGCUGUUCUGACGGUACCCAAAGAAUAAGCACCGGCUAACUUCGUG
rnacentral:rRNA from 1 species